rnacentral:rRNA from 1 species
GACGAACGCUGGCGGCGUGCUUAACACAUGCAAGUCGAACGGAAAGGCCCUGCUUUUGUGGGGUUCUCGAGUGGCGAACGGGUGAGUAACACGUGAGUAACCUGCCCUUGACUUUGGGAUAACUUCAGGAAACUGGGGCUAAUACCGGAUAGGAGCUCCUGCUGCAUGGUGGGGGUUGGAAAGUUUCGGCGGUUGGGGAUGGACUCGCGGCUUAUCAGCUUGUUGGUGGGGUAGUGGCUUACCAAGGCUUUGACGGGUAGCCGGCCUGAGAGGGUGACCGGCGACCUUGGGCCUGAGAUACGGACCAGAAUCCUACGGGAGGCAGCAGUGGGGAAUAUUGCACAAUGGGCGGAAGCCUGAGGCAGCAACGCCGCGUGCGGGAUGACGGCCUUCGGGUUGUAAACCGCUUUCGCCUGUGACGAAGCGUGAGUGACGGUAAUGGGUAAAGAAGCACCGGCUAACUACGUG